rnacentral:rRNA from 1 species
AGGUUAACCGAAUAGGGGAGCCGUAGGGAAACCGAGUCUUAAUAGGGCGAAUUAGUUGCAAGGUGUAGACCCGAAACCCGGUGAUCUAGCCAUGGGCAGGUUGAAGGUUGGGUAACACUAACUGGAGGACCGAACCGACUAAUGUUGAAAAAUUAGCGGAUGACUUGUGGCUGGGGGUGAAAGGCCAAUCAAACCGGGAGAUAGCUGGUUCUCCCCGAAAGCUAUUUAGGUAGCGCCUCGGACGAACACCUACGGGGGUAGAGCACUGUUAAGGCUAGGGGGUCAUCCCGACUUACCAACCCUUUGCAAACUCCGAAUACCGUAGAGUGCUAUCCGGGAGACACACGGCGGGUGCUAACGUCCGUCGUGAAGAGGGAAACAACCCAGACCGCCAGCUAAGGUCCCAAAGUCAUGGUUAAGUGGGAAACGAUGUGGGAAGGCUUAGACAGCUAGGAUGUUGGCUUAGAAGCAGCCAUCAUUUAAAGAAAGCGUAAUAGCUCACUAGUCGAGUCGGCCUGCGCGGAAGAUGUAACGGGGCUAAACCAUGCACCGAAGCUGCGGCAAUGACAUUUAGGUGUUAUUGGGUAGGGGAGCGUUCUGUAAGCGGUUGAAGGUGUACUGUGAGGUAUGCUGGACGUAUCAGAAGUGCGAAUGCUGACAUAAGUAACGAUAAAGCGGGUGAAAAGCCCGCUCGCCGGAAGACCAAGGGUUCCUGUUCAACGUUAAUCGGAGCAGGGUGAGUCGACCCCUAAGGCGAGGCUGAAAAGCGUAGUCGAUGGGAAACGGGUUAAUAUUCCCGUACUUGUGGUAACUGCGAAGGGGGGACGGAGAAAGUUAGGCUAUCCGGGCGACGGUUGUCCCGGUUUAAGCGUGAAGGUGGAGAGACUAGGCAAAUCCGGUCUUUCAUUAACACUGAGGCGUGAUGACGAAGCACUACGGUGCUGAAGUAGCUGAUACUACGCUUCCAGGAAAAGCCUCUAAGCAUCAGGUUACCAGAAAUCGUACCCCAAACCGACACAGGUGGUCAGGUAGAGAAUACUCAGGCGCUUGAGAGAACUCGGGUGAAGGAACUAGGCAAAAUGGUGCCGUAACUUCGGGAGAAGGCACGCUGA